AUAUAAAUAAUAAAUAAAUAUAGUACCAAAUAAUAGGUUUUAUUGAUAUGAUUAUAUAAAAUUAGUUAGCAAUUAUAUAUUUUAAAAUAUAAAAUAAUAUAAUUAUUUUUUUGGGAAAAAUUUAAAUAGCACCCUUAUGGUUUCACACUUUCUCACUUUAUUAACCUAUGGUUUAAAGUGUAGCAAUUUAGUGUCUUGUUGUUUCAUUUUUAUCUGACAAAGUUAAAACUAAAGGGUACUAAAGUAAAUAUUCGAUAAACUUAGGUAGGGUAUCUAAAGUUUUUUCUUAUAAUUUAAAGAAAUAUUAACGAAAAAGUGGACGAAAAAAUAAAAAUGAAACCACAUGAUACUAACUUGAUAUACUUUUAACUAUAUGAAACUAAAAUGAGAAAAUGCGAAACUACAUGGGUGGUAUACGAAACCACAGGGGUGG
rnacentral:lncRNA from 1 species